UCUGCUAAGGUGAAACAGGAGAAUGGGCAUUAGCUUUCCAAGAGAUUUUUGUGCUGUUUCGGAAAGCAGGAUACUCAGUGGUGGACUAACUGUGUGUGUGGAUGUGUGUGCAAGCACAUGUAGUGGAGGGCAGAGAACGACUUAAAGGGACCUUCUUUACCCUAUAGCAUGCUCUAAUGUAGAAGGAGUACAUCUUCUGGGCUUACUCUGUAGUGCCUAAGUAUGCUACAAUAUCAACACUAAUCACUAUUAUAAUGAAGAGUGCAGUUGUUUUCGAGAAGAAAUAGUGGUCAGGUAGGUUUCUAGAAUUUGUAAAGUGAGGUUUCUAGGUAAGUGUUCAAAGCUUUUCUUUUCCUCUGCCUCUGCCCAGGGGUGGGUCAAGGACAGGCUCAUGCUGCCAGGAGGAAUUUCUCUCCUUAGGAGAAGCAGAGGGACUCAGGGGCUAUGCUCACAUGAGAGUGACUCUCUUCUGCCCUUCUGACUCCCAUGGACUCCAUGCCUACUUGAAGUGCCAGCUGUGCUCUGGGCUUUGGGAACACUCCCACCUACUUCUCCUCUGGCCUCUAGCCUAAUAAAAGGAGCCCUCUCCUGUUUGCUGUGGCUGCUCUGAAGAAUAACCAGAUGAGAAGCUUCUCCUGUCUGGGCAGGGAUUUGCAAGAAGAUUCCUUCUGGGUAGAUCUACUCAACUCUUCACACUUGGCCAGAAUCAGAAGUGUGCCAGGCACAGGCACAGUGCUGGAGAGAAAACACUGAAAGUGUCAGUAAUUGGCCUCAAGGAGCUCAUCUGGUGGAGAAAACAGAAAAGAAUCAAUUACAAUAUGA